GGAGUUUGGACCGUGUCUCAGUUCCAAUGUGGGGGACCUUCCUCUCAGAACCCCUACUGAUCGUCGCCAUGGUGGGCCGUUACCCCGCCAUCAAGCUAAUCAGACGCAUCCCCAUCCUAUAGCGGUGAACCUUUGAUUCAAAUUAGAUGCCCGCUUUGAAUAACAUAGAGCAUUAAUCCGACUUUCGCCGGGCUAUUCUCUACUAUAGGGAAGGUUGGAUACGCGUUACUCACCCGUGCGCCGGUCGCCGACAAGGAAAGCAAGCUUCCCUCUCGCUGCCCCUCGACUUGCAUGUGUUAAGCCUGUAGCUAGCGUUCAUC
rnacentral:rRNA from 1 species